UACGUAGGGUGCGAGCGUUGUCCGGAAUUAUUGGGCGUAAAGAGCUCGUAGGCGGUCUGUCGCGUCGAAUGUGAAAACCCGGGGCUCAACUCCGGGCUUGCAUUCGAUACGGGCAGGCUAGAGUUCGGUAGGGGAGUCUGGAAUUCCUGGGUGUAGCGGUGAAAUGCGCAGGAUAAUCAGGAGGAACACCGAUGGCGAAAGGGCAGGGU
rnacentral:rRNA from 1 species